rnacentral:ncRNA from 1 species
AUGGUGACAUUGGGUCUGAAGGAAGUCUGCGGCAAAGCACUGGCCUGACGUACAGGAACUUGAUACCAAGGCGUUUGCCCGUGGGUGAGACUGCAAAAGAAGUCAAAGCCCUAUAGCUAUUCGGAACGGGUGGCGUAAAUCAAGCAGGUAUAAGUGUGAAAGAUUAU